CGGACAGUGUCUGGUGGGUAGUUUGACUGGGGCGGUCUCCUCCCAAAGCGUAACGGAGGAGCACGAAGGUUAGCUAAUCCUGGUCGGACAUCAGGAGGUUAGUGCAAUGGCAUAAGCUAGCUUGACUGCGAGCGUGACGGCGCGAGCAGGUGCGAAAGCAGGUCAUAGUGAUCCGGUGGUUCUGAAUGGAAGGGCCAUCGCUCAACGGAUAAAAGGUACUCCGGGGAUAACAGGCUGAUACCGCCCAAGAGUUCAUAUCGACGGCGGUGUUUGGCACCUCGAUGUCGGCUCAUCACAUCCUGGGGCUGAAGUAGGUCCCAAGGGUAUGGCUGUUCGCCAUUUAAAGUGGUACGCGAGCUGGGUUUAGAACGUCGUGAGACAGUUCGGUCCCUAUCUGCCGUGGGCGCUGGAGAAUUGAGG
rnacentral:rRNA from 1 species